AGCGAACGCUGGCGGCAGGCCUAACACAUGCAAGUCGAACGAACCUUUCGGGGUUAGUGGCGGACGGGUGAGUAACACGUGGGAACGUGCCUUUAGGUUCGGAAUAACUCAGGGAAACUUGUGCUAAUACCGCAUGUGCCCUUCGGGGGAAAGAUUAAUCGCCUUUAGAGCGGCGCGCGUCUGGUUUGCUAGUUGGUUGGGGUAAUGGCUCACCAAGGCGACGAUCAGUGGCUGGUCGGGUCAGAUGAUUAGCCACAUUGGGGCUGAGACACGGCCCCAAACGCGACGGGGGAGUGGAGUAGAGAGUCUUACGGAAGGAGGCAUAGCCUAACGCAGCCAUGCGGCGUGAAUGAUGAAGGUCGUAGGAUUGUAAAAUUCUUUCACCGGAAACGAUAAUGACGGUACCCGGAGAAGAAGCCCCGGCUAACUUCGUG
rnacentral:rRNA from 1 species